CUCAGGGCGGGGUGAAAUUCCCCACCGGUGGUAACAGUCCACGAGCGCGGGUGGAAGUUAAAACAAUUUUCACCCGGUCAGCAGAAUCGGUGAGAUCCCGAUACCGACGGUAUAGUCCGGAAGAAAGAGCG
rnacentral:ncRNA from 1 species